UACGUAGGGUGCGAGCGUUGUCCGGAAUUAUUGGGCGUAAAGAGCUCGUAGGCGGUGUGUCACGUCGGCCGUGAAAACCUGCAGCUUAACUGUGGGCGUGCGGUCGAUACGGGCAUCACUGGAGUUCGGCAGGGGAGACUGGAAGUCCUGGUGUAGCGGUGAAAUGCGCAGAUAUCAGGAGGAACACCGGUGGCGAAGGCGGGUCUCUGGGCCGAUACUGACGCUGAGGAGCGAAAGCGUGGGGAGCGAACAGG
rnacentral:rRNA from 1 species